GUAAUCCUAAGCACAGCACAUAUACUAAAAUUGGAAUGAUACAGAAAAGAUUAGUAUGUCCCUGAGUAAGAAUGACAUGCAAAUUAAUGAAAGGAAAGUAAGUGUA